CAGCCGCCGCGGGAAAACGUAGGGUGCAAGCGUUAAUCGGAAUUACUGGGCGUAAAGCGUGCGCAGGCGGUUGUGUAAGACAGGUGUGAAAUCCCCGGGCUUAACCUGGGAACUGCGCUUGUGACUGCACAGCUAGAGUAUGGCAGAGGGGGGUGGAAUUCCACGUGUAGCAGUGAAAUGCGUAGAGAUGUGGAGGAACACCGAUGGCGAAGGCAGCCCCCUGGGCCAAUACUGACGCUCAUGCACGAAAGCGUGGGGAGCAAACAGGAUUAGAUACCCGUGUAGUCCCUGUCUCUUAUAC
rnacentral:rRNA from 1 species